AAGACGGUUUCUCAGUCACUCAGUGGAGGAGCGUUCUGGAGAGACUGUGAAAGCGAUGCCAGACGGUCGCAGAAAUCGAUCAAUUUCCACCGGGAAUGCCGACAGAAUGAUCGAAUCGAAGGCCAAUCGGUGAAAUUUAACGAUUGAAGUUUAAUUCAAAAAUCCGUCGGUAGAUGAAGCCGCAAAUCCUGAACCGUGAGUAGUCUGUGUUGACUGUAAGUCAAGCAAAUAGACACUCAUAUACACAAAACAACGAGAAGAGGAAAGUAAGAGAAUGCAGCAGAUGUCUUGACACGAUGGUGGCUGAAAGCAAAAUGGAGUGUAGACUGACAAGUGGGCAGGACUUCUUCCACUACCUUGUGUGAAAGUUAAUGGCCGUCCAAAGCAAAAUCCUAUGUAAAGAAUGAAGGUUUGUAAUAGUGGAGGAACAAUUUUGCUUUCUCCAGGAAAUAUCAACUGACAGUUCAUAAGAGAAUUCAUACUGGAGAGAAGUCUUGUACAUGAACGGCUUCUCUCCCGUAUGAAUUCUCUGACGACUUGUAAGACCACUUGUAAAAAAAAGCAUGUUGCUGCCCACAUUUCUCCUGUAUAGACAGUGUGAAUAAUCAGUGUUAGUAAUAUAUAUUUUUUUUUAUUUUUGGCUUGUUGCCUCUUGAAGGGUAUUGUGCAUUGUUCAAGCUUUUAUGCAUAAAUUGAAUAACAUUAAAUGAUAAAAAUAAUAAUUUGUAAAUAACUUACCAAGUAAUUACUUGGCUAUUGAUUAGCCUCGUGCGGCAUCCUAUUAGGUGUAUAAGAAAUGGAGAUCUAGGUUAUGAUGGAGAAAGACUGAUAAUAGGAGUGUCUUAUUAUCUUUAAAUGUAUGUCUAAGAAAACCCAAAUUAGUCUCAUGAGUCAUUUCUGCUCUCGGUGCGAGUCGGUACUACUUAUCCGUCCGCACCUUUCUGUGUCAACCCACUUUGUCUCUAAUAAAUCAUCAGUACCCAGCUAGCUACCUGUCUUACUCUCUGGUCCUCACAGAAUCAUCUGAUAUCAGUCUGCCAGACUCUGCUUGCAGGUGGUCACUACACAGCCCACCACAACAAGAUCUGUAAAUUUAUACAUUGGAAAAUAUGUAAAGAAUACAAAAUUGAAGUGAAAGAAAGUGUGGAAGCAUGAACCAGAUCCAGUCACCUCCAAUAGGGAUCUUUUAUGACAAGGAAAUUCCAACAGGUCAUUGCCAAGAUAGCUUCUUGCAGCUCCCCAGGAGGGUUGGUGAGUGCAUCUUUGCUUGCCUGUAGUCAAAAUUUUAAUACAAAUUGAUAAAACACAUUAUCUAAAUAAAAUAAAUUAACUUGCAGCAUAAACCUUAUAAAAAAUGAACAGAAAUUGUAAGCAGCCAGCAUACAUAAAUGAUAAACAAGUGAUAUAACCAUAACAAACAGGGAACAUAAAUAAUUAUACAAUAUUAAUCAACAUAAACAAUAUAAACAGGCAACAUAUAUAAUCAUACAAUAAAAAAAAAAAAAAAAACAGCAGCCAAGACAGUCGCAUGACACCGAAAUUGCCUAAAUCUGGGUAGCAUAAGAAAUCAAACAAUCUCGGUAGAGAUGACACGACAGACACAGCUAUCGAAAAAGGAUGAAUAAAAACAAUCUCCAUAAAACACUGAAGCAGCAACCAACUGCGAACUUAACGGCGCUGAAUGACCAUAAUAGGUCCCAGUGCUUGGGCUUGUCCCUCGAUUUCAUAAUCCAUCCAUCCAUCCAACUGCGAACUGGAACGCAUCCAUCACAUGGAUAUUGGUGUGGUCAUCUAACCAUCCAUCCUCCUGCUACCGAAACCAACAGGGAAAUUAUACCCGAUGUAAAUGAUUUCUUGCUGCCAUACUAAACCCAACUGCUGCAAUCAAAGCGAAAGCAACGGUCGACAACUUCCCACAAGCGCCUCAGCGGCGUGGUUGGUAUGAUAGCAUCCCACCUUGGUGGUCAUGGGUUCGAUUCUUGGCCAUUCCAUUGAGGAGUGAGAGAUGUGUAUUUCUGGUGAUAGAAGUUCACUGUCGACGUGGUUCGGAAGGCAUGUAAAGCUGUUGGUCCCGUUGCUGAAUAACCACUGGUUCCAUGCAACGUAAAAGCACCAUACUACAACAACAACAACUUCCCACACACAAAAUAC